AUACACAUACGGUCUCAGACAAAAACGCAAACAUGCUCACAGAGACAUACAUUCACACACACACACACGGAUACUCUCUGUCAGACACACUCUCAGGCACAUACACAGAUAGACAGUGCCUCAAUGUGUAUAUGUGACACUUUUUUGUUAGUGGGGCCUCAUGUUUGAGUUUUGCCUAAGGCCUCAAAGUCUAGAGCCACCUCUGGAGCUGUAGUUGUUCU